rnacentral:lncRNA from 1 species
AUGCCAGCCCUUUCAUUCCAGCACGGGCGCUGCGUUUCUGAAACGCUAGCGUGGGAGAGGUCGGCGUUUGCUUUAUUCCCUUGCGUUUCCGCAGGCCACGGCGAGGAAAGGGUGGAGCGGAGCUCCUCCGCGCCGCGCCGUGCCGUGCCGGCCGCACGCCCUCGCUGCCUUCCUCCCGUCUAUUUCUGGACUGUUUACCUGGCAAGCGCCGCACGGCCGAUGCACACGGAAACGCUGACAUCACGGCGGCUCCGCGCCGGGCCCCGCCGGCUGGCCGGCUCCCCGCGGAUCCCGCCAGCCGAGCCCGGCACGCGGCCCCGGGCUGCAGGAACUGCGCUGCCCCAGCACGCGGCCGGCCCCAACCUCGCCCCGGCUCCCACGGCCCGGAAAAGCCCUGCCGACUCAGGAAAGGUGGAGAGACGACGUCCCUGGAAACCGCCUCGCGGGCCAGAAGGAGCCGGGGAGGCUGGAGGCCGCGAGCCGGCCGAACCGGGGGCUGCGCCGGCGUGGGCCGGGCCCGGCUGCCGGUCCUCCCUCCCUCCCCAGCUGCCCCGUCCCAGGGCUCAUAAACCGUGGGGGGAGCAGGCAGCCUAUUAGAGACUCUAUUAAGUCUCCAUUAGUUAGGUGUGAACUCAUUACCCUAAUAUACUCGGAGGUAGAUUCCACUUGUAGGACAUUAGCACUUUAAUAAGCGCUUUUACCACUUAGUGCUGGACUGGGAGAGGGCAGAGAAACACCUCCGUGUUUCCCGGCAGCUGUGCGGUCCGUGGGAACGGUGUCCCCCGCGGGAGUAGCAUCCCCUGCAGGAACAGCAUCCCCCGUGGGAACGACAUCCUCAUGGGAACAGCGCCCCUGUGGGAACGGCAUCCCGUGGGAGCCGUGUCCCCCACGGGAACGGUGUCGUCCCCGGGGCCGUCGUCCCCAGGAGCAGUCCGGCUCCCGGCAUCCUCCGCGGGACGGUGCCCGGCUGGGACGGCRAGCAGGGAUCGCCGAGGAAAUGCAGCUCCUCAAAGCCACGGGCCCUACGGGCAGCCGUUYGCACGGCGGAAAAAAACGGACGUGGCCAAAGCCACGGAGAGUCGGGAAUGGAGAGUGGCAGCCGGUGAGCCACGGGGAUCAGAGCACCGACGAUGUACAGCGAACGUCGCCGGGAACUCGGGGCGUUUAACUGAAAGGAUAGCCACGGCACGAGUGUGUCACGGCCUGUUCGCUGAGCUGUUUGCUUCUUAGAUUGCUUUUUUGCCUUUGUCUGACUUGGCAUUUUCGGCUUGUUUGCUCUUUGUGACAGGAACUGUCUUCCGCUGCCUGCAAAGCUUUGCACAUUUGGAGGAAGUUAUGGCAAUCUAAAUAAUGAGCUUAUAUGAAAUCAAUUAAUUAAUAAUAGAUAGGAUGCAGGAGCAGGGACAGGACUGAUUUUGUCUUGUUAGAAUAAUAAAAAUAUGAUGAUACGUAGAAAAAUUGUGUAU